ensembl:lncRNA
CUUGAGGCAGGUGAAAGAAGAAAUAUCACAGCAGCGGAGAAGGGUGGUCUGUGGCUGAUCCUGUAAAGCAGACUCCUUGUUUUUCUAUUCUGGCAGCACACUUGCCUCCUUUUCUCACAGGAGUGCAUUUCAGUCAGCUUAAUUUUUUUGUCAGGGCAACAGCUCUGGAGCCUGACUCCCUCUCUCAGUGUGAGCAGUGCUGGCCACAGUGCAGCACAUCCCACUCCUUCCCCACACCACGCUGCUGCAUGGGAAGCUGGACAUGAGCCAGCAGCGUGCUCUCACAGCCCGGAAAACCAACCGUAUCCUGGGCUGCAUCCAAAGAAGCAUGGUCAGCAGGGUGAGGGAGAUGAUCCUAUCCCUCUGCUCUGCUCUGAUGAGGCCUCGCCUGGAGUUCUGAGCCCAGAUGUGGAGUCCUCAGUACAGGAGAGACGUGGACCUGUUGGAGCACGUCCAGAGGAGGGCCACAGAAAUGAUCCGAGGGGUGGAACACCUCUCCUAUGAGAUCAGGCUGAGAGAGCUGGGGCUGUUCAGCCUGGAGAACAGAAGGCUCCAGGGAGACCUGAAAGGGCCUGUGGUGAUAGCAUGUGGGGAAAUGCUUUCAAACUAAAAAAGGAGAGAUAGAUAUAAGGAAGUUGUUUAUUAUAAGGGUAGUGAGGCACUGGAACAGACUGCCCAGCGAGGUGGUGGAUGCCUUAUCCCUGGAGAUGCUCAAGGUCAGGCUGGAUGGAGCUCUGAGCAACCUGAUCUUGCUGUCAGUGUUCAUUGCGGGGGAGUUGGACCAGGUAACCUUUAAAGGUCCCUUCCAACUCAAACAAUUCUGAUUCUGUGGGCAGUGCUAGACAAGGUCCCUAUCUACAUUGCUGAGCAUCCCCAACCCUUCACCACCUUCUCUGUAUCAGUGCCUCCAAGAGGCAUACCAGUUAGGAUGGUCACACAUUUCCCUCCCCUUUCCUGAGCACUGGGUUUGGCAAUGUGGGAAAUCUGGCUCUGGGUUGCCAGGUGAUCACAGCAAAAGUGCUUUGGCCGCACGGCUCUUACUCUGCCGGUUGGAGUUGGCUUUAAUGGCUCUGACAGGCCAGCUUUGUACCAGCAGCUUCUUCUGCCAGAUCAGAUAUUGUUUACCCACCCCCCUUUAACUUCAUGCCGUGUUCAAUGUUGUCUCUUCGCACCGAGCUCACUUCGUGCCACAUCAGGUAUCAUCCGUCUCCCUUCAGCCACAAAGCACGCACCUCCUGCCAAGCACUCAGGCUAACUCACCAGAAAGGUGAUGGCACACUUGAACCUGGUCCAGAUCGCAUUCCUUGUGCUGAGCAAGCCGGUGCUCCUGGUGCUGGUUGAGAGGGCACCUGCUGUACUGGGCACCUAAACGCUGCAAGAACCAGAGCCCCUGUGCCCCAGCACUGAGCAGGGCAGCAGAUGAUGGUGUUUUCCCCAUGGCUUCCACCUGCCGGAGCUACCUGAAGCUACUCAAGCUGCACUACCAAACCCCUUUCCUUUAUUUACUUGAUCUGAUCCGGGAGUGUAAACACACCCGCGGUGGGUCUGAGCUCCUUUAUGAUGCAAGGAAACGUUUCAGAGGAAUCCAAGGAACCGGGGGUUUUUUUGAAUGCGUGGUAGAGAAGAAACAUAUUGUGUGAAAGUAAAGUGACGCCGAAUGUGGCCAUGGAGAUAAAAUGGGUUUUUCAGCUCCUGCAUGCGAGAGCAGCAUUUCUCAAAGACGGCUUUUUCUCUGUUUCAUCUUCUUUCUGUUUAUUUUAAGUGAAGCCCUUUUUUAUGUCUUUUUUUUUUUUCCUUUAGGUUUUAAUCUUUGUAUAGAACACGCUCCGUGACCCCGACAGAGGAAAAGCAGCAAAGUCCUACAUCUAUGGAUGUGUUUAGAAGCGCCAAAUGAUCAAAGUUAACGCUGCGCAGCAGCGACUGAGUUACCCCCAUUAUCUCACGUCCCCGGCUUUGACAGACCGCAUCACUCAGUGCGUGGACGUAUCGCUAUUUGAUACACCAUGAAUAUUCAGGGCGCAUAUUCAAUUAACCAGCUCCGUGACUAGGCCUCGCGUCUCCUGCUUUGUGUUUGCAUCCCGCUCCCUCUGUGGGUUUCACAUUACCGCAACAUUUACAGUCAACUCAGCUUGGAAAAUAAGCGUACGGGGAAACAUGGAUGCCUACUACACGUCUAUUGCUCGAUGCAAGAGAGGCUGUGAUCCUGUUAGCAGGCUCCUCUCCCCAAGCUCGUUUUAAUUAGCAUUUCAAGGGAGGUUUGGUACAGCAAAAUGGUGAAGUUUGAAGCUCUGGUGGGCUGUUCUUUGUAUCUUUGCUCCUGAAUUAAUGGGCUGCUUUGCAAUCGUUUAUCGCCUGGGUACAGCCUGCCCUCUUCCAAGGUGCCCGGGUAGCCGUGGGGCUGGGAGCUUCCCUUCUCCAACUGUGUCCUCCAGCUGCCCCCGGGGACAGGCAGAUAAGGAAGGGAGGGUGCUACAUGCAGCUCAGUGUCUCUGAAGGGCUUCAUGAUGAAACCUGGAACCAAAGGACUGCAGAGUUGGUGACAUGCUGGGCUCCGAGGUACCUGUUAAAAUCAUCCAUCCAUCCAUCCAUCCAUCCAUCCAUCCAUCCAUCCAUCCAUCCAUCCAUCCAUCCCAGUCAUCACACCUCCUUGCUUUAGCUGCUUCUGGGCUGUGACUGGGGAGCUUAGGGCCACAGUACCCUUUCAGGGAUUAAACUGCCCCACCAAAAGGGUUAGUUAGGUGGCCACCAUGACUCUUCAAAGUCCAAACAGGUGACUUCUUCAGCUCCUCAUUUAAUGGAGGGUCGAGUCUCACAUGUCAAAGCAGAUUUUCAUCUCUGAAGAGCUCCUGCUCCCUCUGGGAUGCUGUACAGCAGAAAUGCACCUUGGUGCUCUCCCUGCUUUAUCCUCCUUGGUGGGAUCGGGGUCCAGACAGGCAGGGUUAAGCCAGCAGCAGGCAAAGCUGGGUGGGCACAUUGGGGUUGCAAAGCCGAAGACCUGGAGACAAAUUCAUAGUCAAGUCUCUAGAUGAGCCAAGGAAACCUGGUGAAUAAUGCAGUGCCUGCACUGCACCAUGCAGCGUAGCCAUCCAUCCCUGCUCGGGCUGUGUCUGCAGCACAGGGGGAGAAAGGUGAGGAAGAGCAGCGAUAGUGCAGCUCAGGACACCUGGAUACGUUGGCAGGCAGGCUCUCUCUUGAUUAACCCUGCAGAUUUAUCAGCCUCUGGUUUUCACAAGCUCUGAAAUUCCCAUCUAAGACGUCAUUAAAAAUGAAAAGCGGUGAAUUUUCAGGAGGGUCUCCUGGCUUCAGCACAGAGCACAGGCUACUUUUCCUUCAUGCCACCGCUGCCCUUCACCUUGAAGGAGCCGCAUUUGUCUCCUAUCCCUUUUGCUCAUGAGCAUGCAGACAGGAGUCCGGGGAGGCGUCUCGCUGCCUUGAGCUCCGUGCAUCCAUACAUUACCUCCUUGCAGCACGUCCCAGCGCCAGGGCCGGGAGGGAGGUGUCCGGCCCUGAAAAGCAGGUGCUGGGGAGCUGGGAGGGGUGAGCAGGCAUCCUUCCUUCCACCAUGCCCAGCCUGAGCAGCUCAGGGAGGAGCAAGGGCUGCC